rnacentral:rRNA from 1 species
ACGGGAGGCAGCAGUGGGGAAUAUUGGACAAUGGGCGAAAGCCUGAUCCAGCGACGCCGCGUGAGUGAAGAAGUAUUUCGGUAUGUAAAGCUCUAUCAGCAGGGAAGAUAAUGACGGUACCUGACUAAGAAGCACCGGCUAAAUACGUGCCAGCAGCCGCGGUAAUACGUAUGGUGCAAGCGUUAUCCGGAUUUACUGGGUGUAAAGGGAGCGCAGGCGGUACGGCAAGUCUGAUGUGAAAGCCCGGGGCUCAACCCCGGUACUGCAUUGGAAACUGUCGAACUAGAGUGUCGGAGGGGUAAGCGGAAUUCCUAGUGUAGCGGUGAAAUGCGUAGAUAUUAGGAGGAACACCAGUGGCGAAGGCGGCUUGCUGGACGAUAACUGACGCUGAGGCUCGAAAGCGUGGGGAGCAAACAGGAUUAGAUACCCUGGUA